rnacentral:lncRNA from 1 species
UCCUUAGACUUUCUGAUAACUCCUUCACGCAACCGAUGAUGUUCCAGUGGGUGUCAAACACCACUUCCAACCUUGUUGAGCUUGACCUUAGUUGGAACCUCUUGAAGGGUUUGACAUCAAAUCAUUUUGGCUUGGCCAUGAAUUCGCUUGAGCACCUUUACCUGUCUGGAAAUGUGUUCAAGGGUGAAGAUUUGAAAUCAUUCAUGAAUAUAUGCACCCUACGUUCAUUAUACAUGUUUGGAAACAAUAUGACUGAAGACCUUUCGUCAAUUCUUCAUAAUUUCUCCAGUGGUUGUGUUAGAUAUUCACUACAAGAGUUGAGUUUGACAUAUAAUCAAAUCACAGGUUCCAUACCUGACCUUUCAACAUUUUCAAAUUUAAACACGUUGGAUCUUUAUGGCAAUCAAUUGAGUGGAAAGAUACUUGAAGGCACUAGGUUGCCAUCUCAUUUGGAGCAGUUGUCAAUUGGGUCUAACUCUUUAAAAGGUGGUGUUCCAAAAUCAUUUGGAAGCACAUGUACUUUGGAAUUAUUGGAUUUUUCUUUCAAUAGUUUGAGUGAAGAUCUCGCAGUGAUAUUUAAUCAUUUGUCUGGAUGUUCUAGAUACUCAUUGCGAGAAUUAUAUCUCCAUCAAAAUAAAUUCAAUGGCACAUUACCUGAUUUUUCAAUAUUUUCAAAGUUGGAAACGUUGGAUCUAUCAGACAAUCGAUUAAAUGGAGUUCAAAAAUUACUUCGCAAUUAUACUGUUUUGCGUUCAUUGAACCUAUUUAAUAACAGUUUGAGUGAAAAUCUUCCAGCAAUAAUGCAUCACUUAUCCCCAUCGUUGCAAAGUUUAAAUCUAGGCAUGAAUCAAAUUAGUGGUACUUUGCCUAGCAACCUCGCUACAAUGUUCCCAUCAUUAAAAGAAUUGUACCUUGAUAGUAACAAGCUAAAUAGGACAAUUUCUGAAGAUCUUCGAUUUCCAACAGAGCUUGAGGUAUUAUCAAUGAUGUCAAACUCUUUGAAAGGUGUGUUAACUGACUCUCAUUUUUAUAAUAUGACAAAAUUGAAGUCAUUGAUAUUGUCAGAUAAUUCAUUUUAUAAUUUAAGUAGCAUUUGAUUAAGGUGUCAUAUUUACUCUUUUUAAAUAAUAUUUUAUACAUUAUUCAUCUAUUUCGUUCCAACUUGUGUCACAAUUGAUUCUACAUAGCCAUGGCAGAUUGAAAGUACUAAUUUAUAAGAGAACAGAUGGGGGAAUAGCAUUUCUUUUUUUCACUCUUCUAUUUUUGAAUUAUAUAAAUAAUAAAACCAUUCCGGAACAGAAUCUGAUAUUCCACAGUUAGAAAUGUCAAGAAUUUCAAUGUCCUUUUGUGUAUGGAACCAUUUAGGAAAAGUUGGACCUAUCUUGCAAGAUGUCAACCCUAUAUAACCCAAUUGAAAGGACGGGGUCCAGUUUUUGCUAAAUUCUAAAGCCAAUGAGUUGUCUGAUAGAUCUAACAACUGCAACUUUGACAUGUUACCAAAAUGAGAGUCACUGAUCACACCUCCCAAAGAGUUCAAAUUCAUUUUGAGAGUCUCCAGCUGAGUAGGAAAUCGAAUAUCUUUUGGAAUUUUACCAUUUAGCCUGUUUUCAUCAAGAGAUAAAGUUUUUAAAGAUGAGAAUACUGGGAAUCUUGCAAGUAGAAAUUAAAAUCUUCAUGCAACAUUUCUGUUAGAAGUGGGUUUUAGGCCUAACUCAACCCUACAAAACCGACUUGUAAGGUGAGGUCUGCACCCCACUUAUAUAUUAUAAAUUGGCCUUAUCUUUAGUCGAUGUGGGACUUCCAACACACCCCCCUCACGCCGAUGUAUAUACAACCAUAACUCUGAUACCAUGUUAGAAGUGGGUUCUAGGUCUAACUCAACCCCACAAAACCGGCUUGUAAGGUGAGGUCUGCACCCCACUUAUAUAUUAUAAAUUGACCUUAUCUCUAGUCGAUGUGGAACUUCCAACAAUUUCUACAGACCAAAUUUCUAACUCCUGACAAAUUUAAUGCUAAGGUUUGUCAAUGAAGUGAGUACUGCAGAGACCUUGUUUUCUUAAUGGGCAUAACAAUUUCAGUUUUGGCCUCCAGAGUUUCUGUUCUUCCUUUGAUAUAAAGGUGAAAUAGGAAACUGGAGACUCAAUUUUGCACUUAACAUAUGAUUUCCUGACUUAAGGGUAUUUAAUUCAAGCGUAAAUUUAAAUGAAAUAUGAGAAAAAAGCAAGCCAUUAAUGCCAUAAUCCAAAAUGUAAAAGCUAUUUUUUAAACCAAGACUAACAAAGAAUAUUUACCAAUGACUAUAACUGCACAUAUGACAUUGUAAAAAGUUUGCAAGAAAAAGAAAAUAAACAAAAGGGUCAAACAAGAGGGAUUUUUGAAAAACCGUGCAUAUACAUUGUACUCUAACACUAACAUAGGUUGCUUUUAAUGUAAUGGUCAAGCAGUUGAAUCACCAUUUGUCAAUAAGCCAACAUUAGGUUCACAUUAAUUGCAUAGAGAAAAAACAUCAUGGUGUGUGAAUGAAAUCUAAAAAGGACAUGUGUUUUUAUUUAAAUUUGGUAAAUUAGAUUUGGUCAAACUCUUAUCUACUUUUGACAACUCUAAAAUCAAGAGUAAGAAAAAUGACAAAUCAUACAAAAUAUAUAGAAGAACUAUAUAUUAUUCAAUAAUGCUGCUACCCGUAAUAAUACAUUAUUUAUAAAGUUUAUACAUCAUAACUGCUAUUGAAGGAAAAAACAAGUAAAUAUGGAAUGACAAAGAUAAUAUAUAACAGCAAGCCUUUAAGCUACCUCUUGUAAUUGGGAACUUUUGCUGUGAUCAUGCGAUAGAUAUUGUCGGUUAAGUUGUUCAAGAACCUAAAAUAUAGUUGUCGCCAUGGACAAUUCAACAAAUUGGAGCCACAAGUUACACAUAAGCCUGUAACGAAUCCAAGUAUCAUACUCACAUAUUUGUUGCAGUAAUUUUUUAAUUGGGGAGUUUAGUGUUUUUUAUUUUUAAUUGUUUUGCUAGAGGUCCUGAUAAAUAAUUGUGAUUUUUUUUGGUUGAUUAGUGGAUAAUUAUCCGUCGGAGACGAUGAGGGGGAAGAGGUCCUGACAAAUAAUUGUUAUUUUUAUGAGAAAUUGGGUUUGUGGGAUCGGUAGCUUCAGAUAUGGUUCUGCCAAAGGAGGUUGAAGAACAAGAAAGUAGAAUUAUUUCAUUUUGUUUAUUAGUUGUUUUUAAGUGGCUGUUUCGACAGCAACUUACACUUGAAAUAAUUGCAGGAACAGAGAGAUAAAGAACAAGGACAUUGUGGUGUGGUAGGAAGAUCAGAAGUUAAUUUAUGGUACUUAAAUGAUGACAGGAAGAACAAAAGUUAACAGUGGAGAGAGAGAAAAAAGGGAUAAAUAAUUAAUGGUGAAAGAAAUAAAAAAAAAUAUGACUAAAAAAAGUAGAGGAGAGAAAAAAAAUAUGUAGUUAAUUAAACUGCUAAUAAAAAAAUUCAGUUUUUUAAAUUGAAAUAGAAAUAUGUAUAAUUCAACUUUUAUAAAAGUAAUUUAGUUUUUAUAUUACAAAAUAGUAUAGAUAAUUCAUAAUUUAGUAUAAUUUAGUUAAUUAUACCUUAGUUUUGAUUUAUUAAUUUUUUUUUAAUUUUUUGUGUUUGUGAUAAAUUAACCAAAUUCUUUGAAUGUGCUUCUUUUUUCUUACUUUAUCCUAUAUUAUCUCACAUAUUGAUUGUUUUAUUUUUUUUCACUCUAUUUUUCCCUUUUCCUAAUUAUUUUUCGUUUCCAUUACCUUGUGUUGUUUCAGUUUGUUUGCAGAUAGAUUGAAUGUUGUGAACAAUGACUUCAUUCAAGGUCUUAUAUAGUGUGUCUGUCUUUAUUAGAAAAAUAUAUGAUCUCGAUUAUUUGAAUAAUUGAUGUCAUAUCUAUUUUAUGUAGUGAUUUUCUAAAUAAUUGAGACCAAAAAAUUGAUCGUCACUUAUUUUUUUUAUUAUUUUUCUAAUAAGGACAUAUGUCCUCGGUGAUUGGAGCAAGUAUUGACAGAUUUUACUUGAGUGUAGAAAAUAAAGAUUUGUACGCUUGUUGUAUAUAAUAUAGUUAUCGACAAAAAAUUCAUAAAAAAUUUAUCUCUGAACUUAUUGAUGGAUCAUCACCUUGACAGAAAUAUGUUAGAACUGAAAAUCAUUAUCAAUAGCGAAAGGUUCGUCGGUAAUAUGAACUUAAUGAAGGAGUAUAUAUUGUUGGCAAUUACCAACGAAUUUCACAAACCCUUACAGAUGAGCAAAUUACUUACCUAUAUUAUGUUGUCAAUAAUUAUGAAUUUCCAACGGAUUUUAUUCAUAAUCGAUGAAUUAUCACUGUUAAUAGUAGUGAAUUUGUAGUUAAUAUCAAACAAGCCAAACAAUUGAAAGAGAAAUUCAUUAGAAUUUAUGACUCUAUAGGAAUUAGUGAGAUCUAACGUUGAAUCUAUAGUAAGUUCAAGUCGAAGAUGGGGAUGAUGAAUAAAUAUUUGAGAUUUUACACUUGUUUGAAGGCAUGUAAAGAUAAUUUUGUCUUAUGUUCCAUUAUAGGAUUAGAUGGUUACUUUUUGAAAGUCUAGGAUGAGGACACUUGUUAACUGUAAUGGGUCAGGAUGAUAACAACCAGAUGUUGCCACUAGCCUAUGCCAUAGUUGAAGUUGAGAAUAAAGAAGUUUGGACCUAGUUAUUUAACCUUUUGAUUGAAAUCAUUGAGGAUCGUAAGAUGUGUAGGUCAUGCACAUUUAUGUCAAACCAAAAAAGGCUUUUGUAUUCAGUUUUUCUUUCAUUAUGAUGUAAGCUAUAAUGGGUCUAAGAAGUCAUAUGGAGGCUUUCAAACACCUGAUAGCUAUUCCUCCAAGGUUUUUCUUCCACACUCAAAACUACAUUGUAAUUAUGUGGAAGAAUUUGAUCCAUGUGUAAUAUUUAUUUAUGAUUGAAACAAGUAUUGGUCUAGAUAUAGGUUCACAAAUCAAGCAAUGUGUGACGCACUAAUAAACAACAUGAGUAAGUUGAUCAUAACCACGUUGGAGGAUAUUAAAUUAUACCUGAUGAAAAACUACUGACCUCCUAUUAAGGGUGUAAUUUCUAGCAAGUGUACUAAUUUGAUUGUAGAACAAGAAAGUCAUAUCCACAGGAAAUUGAUUUGAUAAAACAAUUAUCUAUAAUCUAUUCAAAUUUGUAAAUGAUAGAGGUUUGACAAUUUUGAAUAUAUGUUUGACAAAUAACAAAGAUAAGGGAUAAGUGAUAAGUGAUGUUAAUUAUGAUGUUGGAAUUGAACUUGGCUUCUUUUGACUCAACUACACUACUAUUGACUUUGUAUAAAUUAUGUUCUUUACUUUAGUAUUCUUUGGUUGUACUCUUUAAUGUAAUUCUAACUCAAUAUUGUUGCAGUAUUAGAACCUAAGGUUAUUAGACCUAGUGUGAUAUCACACAUUUGGUUGAAUGACUCAUUGCAUUAAUGAACAAGACUCUUUAAACCAACUAAAGUCCUAGAUCGAUUUUGGUAUCUACCAAGCCUUUGGAAAUUUGAUCUAAGCUUUAAACCAAUUUUCAUUACAUUUAGGAUGGUGAAGUAUGAUGAUUGAUCAAGUCAUCAAAGUAAUAAAAGCAAAUCAAAUAACCAACAUGUAAAACAAGAACAUAUUAUAUAUUGAAUCAAGUGAAGUACAAAGAGUUACAGAAAUUACAUCCAAUCCCAACUAGCACUAGUGGAAAAUAUAUUUUUUUAUAACGAUUUUUUAUACCUGUUAAAAUUGACCAGGUAUAGAAAGUGGUGCGAUGGCAGUUUUGUAAAUAUAAGAAACAUUUUUAUACCUAUUAUAAUAAAAACAUAUAUAAAAAGUGUUGUGAUGGCAAUAUUGUAAUAAAAUACAAUAUCUUUAUAUCGGUUACAACAAGAAUAGGUAUAAAAAAAUAACUAUAGAUUAAUAGAACCUUGCAUGUGUUAAUGGACUUUUAGAUGAAAUGGUUAUAUGUUAGAAUUAAAGGAUGAAUUGAAUGAGUAUAUGUUGCUGGUAGGUUAAAUGUUACUAAUAGGGUGAAAUCUCAAUUGCUGAGUUAAAAUAUGUACUCCCUUUUUCUUUAAUGAAUGCAUUUAAAUUUCUGCACUGAAGAGAGGCAAUAGAUAAUUUUAUGAGUUACAUGUGUUGGGAAACAGGUAGGUUUCGUUUUAACACCAAGAAGGGGAUGAAUUGGUGAUUUUGUAAAAUCAAAGUCUUUUCGCAAUCUUUGAAUCAAAGUACAAAACUUUACAAACUUUCUUGAAUCGCAAGUAAUAGAAAAUUAAGUCCAGCGGAAAAUUAAAGUAGACUACGUGAAUUGUAAAGUCGACUAAAUGUAAAAGAGUAGGGAUAGAGAAUUCAAACCCAGGUUUUUAUAUUGGUUCGGCUUCAAUGCCUACAUCCAGUGUCCUUCUAGUACUAGGAAGCAAAUGCACUAUAAUGGUCAAGGUUUUUACAACAAGGCUUUUAUAGAAGACCUCCACGUCAAAAAUAUAAAACACCUCUCUAACCUUCUAACCAAAGUAUAGGCAAAUAACACAACAAGACUUGCAACAAGAUGUCCCCUCUCCUACAAUCUGCAACCCACUUUGAACAAUCCUCAAAGUGUACCAGACUCCAAGAGUACAAGACUCCAAGAGUACAAAAUGGCAGAAAUACUAAAUAUGUUAAAAAUGAUAAGAGAAUUAGAGUCAAAUGUAUGGGUGGUAAAGGAGAAUGCCCUUAGAUGGCAUAUUUUGCUUAUAUGGAAGCAAUUAAAACUUUGCAACUAAGGACUAUUGUUGACAACCAUAGCUGUAGUAAGGGGCACAAAGUAAGAUUACUUAAUGCAAAAUGGCUCAGUAAGAGGUUGGAAAAAACUGUUAGAGAAAAUCUCAGUGUAAAGGGAGUGAAAAUUCGUGAAAAGAUAAAUAGGAAAUGGAAUGUCGGCAUAUCUAGAUGCAUGGAUUAUAGGGCAAAGGCCAUUGCUUUAGACCAAGUUGAUGGGUCUUUCAAAGACCAAUUUAAAAGGAUUUAUGAUUAUGCGAAUGAGCUGUUAGCUCGUAAUGCAGGAUCCACAAUGAAGGUUAAAGUUGAAGAUACUAGCAGUGCACCAAUUUUGAAAAGGUUUUAUUCUUGUCUGAAGGCCUACAAGGAUAGUUUUGUGUCCUGAAGGCCAAUUAUUGGACUGGAUGGUGCCUUUUUGAAAGGAAGAUAUGGUGGUGAAUUAUUAAGUGUUGUUGAUAGAGAAGCAAAUGACCAAAUGUUACCUCUUAUGUAUGUCGUGGUGGAGGUAGAGAACAAGGAUACUUGGAAAUUUCUUGAACUUCUUGUUGAAGAUAUUGGUGGGGAGGAAGUCAGUUCAUCAUUUACAUUCAUGUCGGAUCAGCAAAAGGUAAUGCAGAUGACCUUUUCUCCAUUAUGUUCAUUAACAUUGACAUUCAUAUCAUAUUUCUAACAACAAUGUCUGUCAUUAUUCUGAUCAAACAGGGACUAAUGUAAGCUAUACAAGAAGUAGUUCCUCGAGUUGAUCAACGUUUCUAUGUUAGGAACCUAUACGCUAAUUUCAAAAAGAAAUUCCCUGGAAAACAACUGAAGCGUUUGAUGUGGAAGGCAGCACCAACAACCCAUCCAUAAGCGUGGGAAUUAGAAAUGAGAAAUAUAAAACAACUCAAUGAUGACGCCUUCAAAUACUUGUUAAAAAUUCCUCCCAAGUUUGUAUUUAUACUUCUUUUGUUUAAUAUUUGAACAUGGAUAUCUAACUUAAAUGUUCAUUAUACUUAUCCAAUGUAGAUACUGGUCACGUUCAAGAUUUAGCAUCAUACCUCAAUGUGAUACUUUGGUGAACAACAUGUCUUAGGCUUUCAAUAGUGUUUUGGUGCAUACAAGGUCUAAGCCAAUCAUAAGCAUGUUGGAGGACAUUCGCCUUUACUUGAUGAAGAGAUGGGCAACUAACAUGAGUAAAAUACAAUCAUUGUCUAGGGACAUUUGUCCUAAAAUCAAGACGAGGCUAAACAAGGAGUCUCAGUUAACUAAACAUUGGAUUCCAUAACCUUUACUCAUUUUACUUGAUGAUUUCCAAUGUGAUGUGAUUUUUGUAUUCAUUAUUGAUUUCUUUCUUGAUAAUUUACUACUGGUUAAGAAACAAGCUUUUUGAAGUUUGUGUACAUGCAGGAAGUGGGCUAUCACUGGCGUACCAUGUUGCCACUCAUUGGUUGCUAUGAAAUUCCUAAAUCUACAAGCAGAGGACUUCAUACCAUGUUGCUUUAGGAAGACAACAUAUGAAGAAAUUUACUCUUCAAUUGUGUAUCCAAUAAAUGGUAACAAGAUGUGGGAGAUUACCCCAUAUGUUAAUGUCCUCCCUCCACCAAAAAGAACAUUGCCUGGGAGACCAAAAAAGAAGCGAAGGUUAGAGCAAUGGGAGUUGGUGAAGGACGAUAAAAGAAUGAGAAAGGGUGGUCUAAAGAAAAGAUGUGGAAUUUGUAAGCAAUUGGGCCUCAACAGAACGUCUUGCACCCAAUCAACUGCCAAUGAUGCCAUCAUCAAAUGAGAAUGGAGUUGUAGGUCAAGGGGAUAUAUGAUCAAUUGUAAUGUUUAAACAAUGACAGGAUGUGAACAAUUUUACAAGUCCUGUGUUAGUGAUGUUUACAGUUUGUUAAUCUUUAGACAAAGUCAGUCUUGUUUUAUCACCGCUUAUUGUAACCUUUGAACAAGUGAAAACUGCUUUUUGUUAAUGCUUACACUAGUGGAAAAUGAGGAUAAGAAGUCGGGUAAUAGGUUUUGGUUUCCCAACAACCGAAAUAUAUAAAAACACGGUGGCAUAAUUGAGAUUUCAGUGAACUUAUAGGAACCGGUUAAUCAGUAACUGAAGCAUAAAAUGUCUAUUACCUCUAAUAAAGUUCCCAACUGAUGCCUAAGAUAUUGCAACUUCCCGCCUUCAACUGAAAUAUGUGAUUUGAAAUGGACCUGUUACCUCAGUCCUUAACUACUCGAGGCAUAAAGGGUCAAUUAUCUCGAUUAAAGUGAGUAGCCGAUGUCUAAGGAUCUGUAACUUUUCACCAACCCUGCCUGUUUUCCUGACAGAAUGCUGAAAUUGGCCUCCUGCCUGUUUAUGCUUCGGUUUUCCAAAGAUCCGAGGCGUAUACUAUGGGUUUAGGCAUCGGUUUAGUAGAACACCUGAGGCAGUAGCUUGUUAUUACCUCGGUUCAUCCAAUAACUGAGGCAUUAUGCCUUUAUAUUUCCACCUCAAUGAAAUUCCCCUACGCGCACUUUUGUCUUCGACCAGAGCGACCUCCCCCUUCUUUCUCUUCGACCAGAGCGACCACCAAACGCCGUGGUCGGCCAUUGUUGUCUUAUCCGUGCAUCCACCGUCGUGCCGCCACAGUUCAUCCCCCUCCUUCGCCUCCAUUGUCUUCGGCGAAGCGCUGUCCAAGUUGGGUGGCUCGCUAACUGCAGGAGUAUUCUCUCCAAGCGCUGCUUCCGCCAUCGUUCCCGUCGCUCCACCGCCGCUCCGCUGCCUUUGCUGCUGUCCUUUGCUGCCACAAUAAGUUUUUAAAACCCUUUACAUUUUCAUUUGUCUGUGGUGAUUGAUAUUGGUUUGAAUGAAGAAAGGAAUGGCUUUGGUGCUUUUUGUUAUCUGCUCUCUGUUCCACUCUAAAACUGUUGCUCUCUAUGUUUAUUAUAAGAUUUAGUUUGUUGCAUUCCCAAAAACUGCUUUGGCUAAUUUGUUUAUUUGUCAACUUAUCAACUCCAUUUUUCUAAUUACUUCUAAUUAUAAUUAAAUUAAUANAAAUACUAAAAUUAAUUAGGAGAUAAAUAAAAAAAUUAGAUUGAGAGUGGUAAGUGGUUAAGAAAAUUAGGUAAAGAAGUAAGAGGUUAAUUUAAGAGGUUGGAACGAAUAGUAUGUUCUAACAAUGUGUGUGUAUGAUCACUGUCAAGGAACAAGAAACGAAUGAACAUGUCCCAGACGCCAAGAAAAGGUCCCAAUUGCAAGAAAAUCAUGAGUUUGGUAGCUUAGAUUUUGAUUCCCACUCAGACCGAGUUGUGAGUUAUCAUGGGAAGACUUAGUUAGGUUUGGUUUCAGAGACAGAGAGUUGAAUUUUGAUAUGCAAUGCAAUGGAAGUCGUUUUUCAUAUUAAAGUUUUUNGAACUUGUAAGUAAAGAUAGAUAGUAACUCUUUCCGAACUAUCUGUUCAUAUUAUGCAGUGGAAGUUUCUUAUAUUUAUUGUGUGAUGUGUUAAACUUUUUACUUUCUAAAAGUAUGAUAAGUGGUUUACUUAUUCUAUGGUUCCAAAAGAAAACAAAAUUAAAAAUAAUAAAAAUGAAAGCACAAGUUCAAUUAUUCAACUGAGGUGUUAAUCAACAAAAGAAGUCAUUCAAUUGGAAGGCCUGCCAUGAACAAAGCACCUGAUGUGAAAUUCAAUGUUAUUCAAGUUGAUGCUCAUCUAGUUAUUUCCUUAGUGGGUAUAUUGCUCAUAAGGAUACAUUUAGUUACAAAUAUAGCAGUACUUUUUAGUUAGAAAUUACAAAUGGAUUCAUUUAGUUAGUGACCUGGUAGCAUAUGACGCAACUUCACAACAAUGAUUUUGUUCAGUAUAUCAAGUAAAAUCAUUUUGCUAUUUUUUGAUUUUGAAUUACAGGAAAAGGCUAGCUUUCUUUGCAGGGGGAGUUAAUUCUCUAGUACGUGUAAAGCUUUUCAGCAAUUAGCAUUCACAUUCCCCAGUCUUAUCUUUAGGGUAGACUUUGUCAUGUGAAUUAUCCCAUGCCGGUGACAUCCUUUUUUCCAUUACCUUUGUUUUAUGUGGAAAUUACUGAGUUGGGUAGCUUCUUCUGUUCUUUAUCUUCUAUUUUUGUAAGAUUUUUGGUUUCAAGUAGAGGUUGAUAUAAAUUAAGUUUCAUGUACAGGUUGCAAUAAGAUGAAGUUAAUGUAUAUACUUCUUGCAGAUAAGAAUUUUGUACACAUAAGUUAUAUAUUAUUUAAUUACAUAAGUUAUAUUUACUGAUUCANUGUGUUUUAAAUUUUGUCCCAAAUGAUCUUUGUUAACAGAAGUUUUGUGUACAAGUUUUACUGUAUAGCUUUCAGAUGGUAUAUGCUAACAAUCUUGAUGCUAGAGUAAACAUUUUCUAUACUUAAAAGUUGUGAAGGAAAUUGAAUGUGAUGCUAGGAGGAACACUUAUAUUGUGAUGGCNGUUUAAAGGGCAUAACAUUUCUUUCUAUGUAUAGCCUGGAACCGUAAAGCUUUUCUGCUCACUUCAAAAUGCUGUUUAGAGUAUACUUUAGUUCUAAAGUUUAAUUAGUAUAAUAUAAUUAUAUAUACCUGAACAACAGAAACAGUUCUAGUUUUACAUGUUCAUAUGCAUGAAUAUAUAUUAACGAGUUACAAAUGUUUAAUAUGUAGGCCUUUUGCUUGUACUUUUUGCAGCUCAAAGAUGAAUGGACCUUGGGUACUUUUCUCUUUCCCUUCUUAUAUAUCUGUAAAAUUAUUUUGAGACAAAAUGCAUUCUAAAUGUCUUUCCUGGUCUCUAAGUUAGGGGAGUUUUUCCCGUGGAAAUUGAUGGCUAUUUAUUUAUUUCUUAAGCGUUUGCGAAACAACUUAGAUUGGUCCUUAUAUUUCUUUUUGGUGCUUCAUUCUUGUUUGUCCUUGUUUCAUUUGACAGAAUUCACAACAAUGGUUGGGAGGCGUCUUCGAGAUGCAGUGAAGACAGUGUUCUCACCACUAUGACCUUCCCUUCACUGAUGUAUUGAACUGGAAGAGCUUUUCAGUUGUUGUCACCACCUCAGAUAUCGCCCUCUCCAAUCUCUCCCUACCCUCCGAGUACGCUGUCGUCAUGGUCCUCUCCUGCCUCGCCCACGUCCUCUCCGCCAAAACCCUCGCUGCCCGCUACUCCCUCGAUCCCUACCUCGUCUCUAAAAUCACCAACAUGGUCACCCGACUCCUCGCUACGAACUUCAUCAAAAGACCCGUUGGCCGCCACCGCCUCCUCGAGACCACCCAGGCCUUUGAGGAACUCACAUCCCUCCCCAACAUCGACACCACCCUCGUCCACCUCCGCUCCACCCCCAACAGCCACCCAUUUCCGCGACAGCCUCCUCUACCACCACCUCACCUCCAGCGACAUCGUCUAGGACAAGGUCAUUAGCGUUCGUGGCCACCACGUGAGGCCUUACGUGGUCGGCGACUGGUGCUUCCCUCUGCUGUAAUUUCUCCUCAUCCCGUUCUCCCUCAUUGGGAUGAGCACCUGCGUAGAACUUGUUCAAUGGAAGGAAGGGAAGGUCCCGUGGUGGUGGAGGCAAUUAGGGGAAGAUACCGCCCCGGUUCCUUCAUAAACGAGGCGUAAAGUCCUAAAAAUAAAAAAAAAAUAAAAAAAAACCAAAAAAUACUACUGCAUCGGUUACCAUCCAACCGAGGCAAAAUCCUUCUCUUUUUUGCCUCGGUUCAAAACCGAGGCAUAAAGGGGUAGAUUUUCUACCUCGNCUGCAUAUGCCUCGGUUCUGGAACCGGUGCCUAUGUGCGAAAAUAACCGUUGUUGUUUCUCUUGACUGCACUAGUGUUAAUGACAAAUGUUUAUAAGUCCUGUGUUAGUGAUGUUUACAGUCUUCUUUUUAACAACUGCAGUUCUAUGCAAAUUGUUACUGCUUAAUGUUGUAUUUCAGAAUGAGUUAAUGCUGAUGCAAAUGUUUAUCCUGAGAUAAAAUAUUUUGGUGGUAAUCUUGAGAUUAUAGUAGAGAUAAAAGUACAAUCAGGUGUCUUUCUGAUUCUUAUGCUGAUGAUUUUACUGCACUAUUAUUUAUCCACAUCUACUAAUUUCAUUUCCUCAACUCAACAGUUUAUCUUCCAAAUUAUGUUACUAUAAAUGAUUUUAGACAAUGCCAUUAAACCUUUAUUCCAUCAAUUUUUACUGCUUAAUGUUGUAUUUCGGAAACAACAAAACAAAAACAAUUGAGUUAAAAUGAUUCCAUACCAUACACAGCUCUCUUUAGUCAUAUCAGAUUCCAAACAACUCUCAUUUUCAUUAAAAUGGAAUCAAGGUACAACAGAGCUACAACACAUCAUCCCAUUCUCAUUAUCAUUGAAAGUAAAACUGUGUUCAUUACACAUAAAACACAAACCAAAAUUAUUAACAACUUCAUCCACUUUUCAACAAUGAAGACACACUUCUGUAACUUAACUAAAAUUUUCUUAUUACUAUCCAACUCUUCACUGUUCAGCAUACUUUGUUUGUUUCCUUCACACUUCAAGCAGGUCCCGAUUCCGUGUUCCACAACAUCACUGCACCAUUUGAAAAAGUUGCAACCACCAUCUUCAAUACCACUCUGUCAACACACAAACGCAUUCUCAUUAACAGUUCCACAUAACAAAUAGCUGAAAUAUAUAUACCUUAUCCUUCGAGCAUCCCCAAAUUUGCUUCCCACAAUUGUUGAUAGUUUUAGCAGUUCUCAACGCACAUCUCUCUCCAUAGUGGCAAAUCGGUGAACACACAUUAGGAUUCUCCUUCCGCAAUACAUUGCAAGUCGAUGAACAACAAGAAUGGUCCUUCGGCAUCGUCUUCAAACAACUUCGCGUUCAGCACCCACCUGCGUCGCACAAAAACAACCUCCAUGAACAACCUCCAGAAGCUCCAACAAGACCAACCUCGCUCUCCUCAGGCACACGUAUUCCUGUGUUCCAGUUUAGGGUUUUAAAUCCCUCUUAAUUUCCCAAAUUUCCCCAAAUUGUUUCCAACGUUGCGUUUUUAAUUUAUUUUUAUUUAAACAUUGUGUUUCAUUUGUUUUAUUUCAAUAAAAUUUAAUUCAAAAAUUACACAAAUCCAACUUAGUUGACCAUAUACUGCCAUUCAUUGCCACGUCAGUAAUGUCACCCUACCACGCACACUAAAUUUCAACGUCAUCCACCCAAUUUAACAGCAAGCCCUUAAUUGAUCCAAUUUUUUAUAUUCAGGAACUUAAUUGAGACAUUUUAAAAAAUAAGGACCUAAUUGAAAAAACCCUACAUAAAUAGGAAUGUUCUAAAUGAUUAAACCUUAUCUUAAUUAGAUCACUUUAAGUUAGCUAAUAAAAUAUAAUGACUCUAACACUAAUAAUUGUUAUAUAUAUAUAUAAGUGACGCAAAUUGGUAUACUCAAAUCACAUAAAAAAAUAUGAGAGGAAAGAGGAAGGAUUAAUAUAUCUGUUGGUUCACGCAAUAAAUCUUUACUUCUAAUUCACAUCGGUAGUUAUUAAUUAAAGACUAGAAAAGUUCUUUCAUAGUAGAUAACAAUUUUAUGAAGGCAAAAUUCUGAUGUAUAUUUUCUGUUUUUAAGUAUGUCAGUCCUAGAGCCGUCAAAAUGGGUCACAACCCACGAGCCAACCCGGCCCGUCACGGGUUCGGGUCGGGUUGGGUUUGAAAAAUACAACCCACUUAUAUGCGGGUCAGAUUUCAACCCGGCUCAUUUAGACCCGGCUCAUGUGGGUUGAACCCGUGGUGAGCCGGGUUGGCCCACCAACCCACCUACCUAAUUUUAUUUUUUUAAUUUAUUAUUUUAUUCAUGAAAUCUCAAAAAGUAAAAUAUUUUUUUCACUCCUCAUUGUGUAUACCAAAAAAGUAACCUCUUUCAUUUGACGGUGCUCUUACCCUCACUUCACUGAAAUUCUUCAAGGAACAGGUAAAACACCCUUCCUUUUUUCUUCUCUUUUCUCCACAUUUUUGUUUUCUCACUUCUUUUUUUUUUUUCAAAAACUCAAUAAUGACAAAAAUAGGGGUUUGUGAAUUUGUUUUUUGUUUUGGGGGAUUNNNNNNNNNNNNNNNNNNNNNNNNNNNNNNNNNNNNNNNNNNNNNNNNNNNNNNNNNNNNNNNNNNNNNNNNNNNNNNNNNNNNNNNNNNNNNNNNNNNNNNNNNNNNNNNNNNNNNNNNNNNNNNNNNNNNNNNNNNNNNNNNNNNNNNNNNNNNNNNNNNNNNNNNNNNNNNNNNNNNNNNNNNNNNNNNNNNNNNNNNNNNNNNNNNNNNNNNNNNNNNNNNNNNNNNNNNNNNNNNNNNNNNNNNNNNNNNNNNNNNNNNNNNNNNNNNNNNNNNNNNNNNNNNNNNNNNNNNNNNNNNNNNNNNNNNNNNAAUAUAAGAAACUUGUUUGUAUAUUUUUUGUGUUUGUUUUUGAAUGACAUUUGGAUUAUAUUGUACUUUUUAUUAUUAUUUUGAAUUGUCUUUAACAUAAUUUUUUGGGAGUGAAAAUUGUUUAAAUUUAAAUUACUGAAAGUUUGUAUUUUUUUAUUUUAAAAAAAAUGUAAUUAAAUGGGCUAGUGAGCCAACCCGUUUACCCACCAACCCGUGGUGGGUCGGGCCGGGUUCGAGUUUUUCUGGCUCGCUAAUAAAUGAGCCGGGUUGGGUUGACUCACUAAGUGACCAACCCGUGGUGGGCCGGGCCGGGUCGAGCCGGGUUACCCGUUUUGACAGCUCUAGUCAGUCCCCUAAUCUGGAUGUCAAUAAAAAUCCAUAAAACAAACAAAAUAAAUUGCUCAUUCAGAGUUGACGUAUUCAAACAACUUAAUAAAAUGUGUCGGUUUACUCUGUGCCCAUGGAUUUGGAUUUGGUUCAUCUUUAAUUCAAUUAUAAAUCACAUUUAAUAUUUGAAUGCAUCACUCUCAUUUGAUUAAAAAUUUAAAAUAGUUUAAUUGGUGUGACUUGAAUUAUGGAAUUGAUUAGAUUAGGCCAAACAGAUAAACACUUUUAGUUUCUCUCGUAAGAUGCACGUCUUAUAUUAAUAUCAUAUAUUAAGCAUUUAAUUUUAUUCAUUAGUUUCUCUUUGUAAACAAACUUUUUCACUUUAAUUUUAAAGUUACUUUAUCAUAAGUUUAAUAGAAAAAAAAAAUCAUAUCUUUUUUAACCAAGUCAUCAUUAUAAACAGAGGACCUGUUACCUAAAAUAAGAAAAAAUUAUAGCCAUGGAAAUACUCAUAUAAUCAUAAUUAUGUUUAUGCAUAGAUUAAGAAUAUCUCUCCUAAUCAAUAAUAAAAUAAAAUAAAUAAUCAUAAUGAUAAUAUCUAAAUAUCUUCUCAAAUUUAAGUAUGAAGAUCUUGAAUGUGUAACUUACAAUAGAAAACCUCAAAUUGUGUUUAUGCUAGUUGUAGCUUAGUAAGAACAUAUGGAGCAUAAAUGAUGUAAGUUGUUUCAUUACAAACAAAAUAAUAAUAAAAUUCAAUAUGUUUUAUUCUUUCACCAAAAAUCGGAUUUUGAACUAUAUGUAAUGUUGAUUAAUUAUCAUUAUAUAAUCAUAUCCCUUUUGAAUUAGUAACUCCAAAUUACCAAGUAAAUGUUUGAGUCAUUUUAACUCACAUAUCAUCACAGAGUGAUAUUCAGUCUCUAGUCUUUGUAGAAGAGCGAGAUGUUAUUGAUUGUUUCUUCGUUUUCUAAUAUGGAGAAAAACCAAGAAGCACCGCUCAACUAGUCAAAAAACAUAUUGUAAGUGAAGAACCCAACCAAUCCAAAUCACACCAUCAUGUAGUUCCAGUUUUUUAGCAUACAGUAGUAAAAUACCUUAUCUUGGAUGUUUCGUCAAACAUCUAAUAACCCUUAAGAUUGCCUCACAAUGCCCUUUACAAGAUUUUUACAUAAAUUGAGAUAAAAUGUUAAUAAAAUAAGCAAGAUCAAAUCUAGUCAUAAAAAAUUAAUUAAUCUUCUAACCAGUCUUCAAUACAGUUCCGAAUCUUCAAGAGAUGUAUUAGAAGUCAAUACUGGCUUAUGAUUUUGUUCUAUUGGAAAAUUGCAAGCUUGAAACGAAAUAAACCUGUGUCUGCAAUAAUUUCCAAUGCAUAUGUUUGCUAACAUAGGUAAAUUCCCUCCUGAUUAUAGAUUAUCUCCAACCUCAAAAUAUUUUAAGAGACCUAAGUUCUUCAUAUGAAAGUUGGAACCUAAGUAAGGUUUCAAAAUUUUCAUGGAUGAAAUAUUAUUGCUAGCAAUAAUUAAGUUAUGAACAUACGCUAGUACGUAGAGAUGCAUUUUUACCCUGUAUAAUGUAAACAGUAAGUAAUUUGAAUAGGAUUGGAUAAAGCCAAAAUGCUUCAAAGAAAUAGCCAACAUAGCAAACCAACAAUGAGGAACUUGUUUCAAGUCCAACCUGUAAAUUAAAUUCGGGAGAAACUUUCAUGUACAUACCUCCUCAACCAAAUCACCAUGGAGAAGCAAAUUAUGUACAUUCGUUUAGUGAAUGUGUCAUUUUCUAAUUGCUGCCACUAUGAGAAGGUAAGUAUAAUCACCAUUUAUGUCAUUGGGUGCAUGUUUAAUCAUAGUUUAUUCUUCCUUUUUAAUGAUGUUUGAAUAUAACAAGUCUCAAUUUUAAACUUUAUGCUCUCAUCUGUGUGCUGUUCUAUUUUGUAUAUCCAUAUAAUUUCGAGAGCUAUAGAACCAUUUAUCUUUUUCUUAUGAAGCUUGUAUCUUAUUGGCCAUUGCAACACGCCAACCAGACAAAAAAAAUUAUUCUCUACUUACAAAGCAAGUAAUAGAAUAAAGACUACUUAAGGCAUCUUAUUAAGUAGAUGAAUUAUGAAGAUUUUACUUUUUAUAAUGACAUGAGUAACAAGAUCCGUAUACCUUAAUUACCGAUGAAUAAAAAAUUAACAGACAAAUAAAAACUUUUAAAACAUUUUGGAAUAAAAAAACCUUUUUUACCAGAGACCAAAUGAAAAUCAGAAUGUAUUUCAAAUUUAAAUAGGCACAUUUAAAGCCAAAAUUUGUACCAAUAUAAAUGAUUGUAAAUACAAAUAAAUUUGUAUAUAAAUACAUGAUAAUUAUCGUUACAUAUAAUCAAGAUAUUAUUUAGUUAAAGAAAUAACACCACAUGUUAAUUCAUCAUUCGCUAUUUAUUAUUUAUUUGUAAAAUUAUUAUAAAAAAAUCAUUAUAGUAAUCAAUUUUAGAAACGAAUAAUAAGGAGUUACUAUAUUAAUUAAUUAAAUAUUAUUUUAUAAACUUAAAAAUGAUUAAUAUUCUAAAUAAUUAAAUUUAAAUAUAAGAUAAUUAUUUUUUGAAAAAUAAUAUUUUUUACAAAAUAUAAAAUAAAUUGAAAGAAUUUAAGCAGUAAUCACUUCAAUUAUUGGAGUUUUAAAUCCCUUUGACUUUUAAUAUUUGGGUGUUCUUUGGAUUUCUCUUUCUUUCAUUUUUUUUAGUUUUUAUUUUUGGCGAAAGUAAUUAUUUGUUUAAUUUUUGGCAGAGGAAAUAUGGAUUAUAUGUGUGAAGUCUGUGGAAAAUGUUAUUGGUUUUGAAGAUUACAAGAGUUGUGAGGGUACCAUGCUCAAAGGACAUAAAUAGAAAAACAUGAGAGAAAACAGGAAGAAUUAGUAUAUAUGUUGGUUCAUGCAAUAAAUCUUUACUUAUAACUCACAUUGGUAUUUAUUAAUUAAAGACUAGAAAAGGUCUUUUAUAAUAGAUAACAAUUUCAUGAAGACAAAAUUCUGACGUAUAUUUUCUGUUUUCUAAGAAGUAUGUCAGUCCCGUAAUCUGGAAGUCAAGAAAAAUCCAUAAAACAAACAAAAAUAAAUUGCUCAAUCAGAGUUGACGUAUUCAAACAACUUAAUAAAAUGUGUCGAGUUGCUAUGUGUACAUGGAUUUGGGUCAUCUUUAAUUUAAUUAGUAAAUCACAUUUAAUAUUUGAAUGCGUCACUCUCUCUCGUUUGAUUAAAAAUUAAAAUAGUUUAAAUAGUUUGACUUGAAUUAUGGAAUUUAUUAGAUUAUUCCAAACUGAUAAUCACAUUUUGCACAUCUUAUCUUAAUCAUAUAUUAAGCAUUUAAUAUUAUUCAUUAGUUUCUCUUUUGUAAACAAACUUUUUCAUUUUUAUUUUAAAGUUACUUCAUCAUAAGUUUUACAGAAAAAAAAAAAAAAAACAAGCAUACCUCUCUUUACCAAAUCAUCAUUAUAAAUACGUAUUAUAGGACUUGUUACUUAAAAUAAGAUAAAAUUACAACCACUAUUCAUCACAUAAUUUUCAUAAAUAUAAUUAUAAUUAUGUGCAUAAAUAAAUUAAGAAUAUAUCUUCUAAUUAAUUAUAAAAUAAAAUAAAUGGCCAUAAAUAUUUAAAUAUCUCUUCAAAUUUGAAUAAGAAGAUCUUGAAUAACUAACUUGCACUGAAAACACUUAAAAUUAUGCUUUUGCUAGUUGUACUUUGGAGGAACAUAUGGAGGAUAAAUGAUAUCAGUAGUUUCAUUACAAAUAAAAUUACAAUUAACUUCAAUAUGUUUUAUUCUUUCAUGAAAAAUUGGAUUUUGAACUAUAUAUAAUAUUGAUUAACUAUCAUAAUAUCAUAAUAUAAUCACAUCUCUUUGAAAUUAGUAAUCCCUAAAUCAUCAUGUAAAUGUUUGAGCCAUUUUACUUAUAUGUAAUCAUCAUCAUAAAGCAAUGUUUAGCCUCUAUCCUUUGUAGAAGAGCAAGAUACUGUUAACUGUUUUAGUUUUCCAAGUUGAACAAGAACUAAGAAGCAUCACCUGACCAAUCAAAAAACUUAUUGUAAGUGUACAACCUGUCCAAUCCAAAUCACACCAUAUUGUAGUUCCAUUAUUCUAGAACACUGUAGUAGAAUACCUUGUCCUAUGUUUCCUCAAAUAUUUAAUAACCCUUUGGUAGGAAAAUAUGGAGGAUAAAUGAUGUCUGUUGUUUCUUUUCAAACAAAAUAACCAUCAACUUCAAUAUGGUUUAUUCUUUCAUGAAAAAUUGGAUUUUGAGAUAUAUGUAAUGUUGAAUAACUAUCAUACUAUAAUUACAUCCGUUUGGAAUUAGUAACUCUCAAAUUAUUAAAUAAAAUACUUGUCUUGGAUGUUUCUUUAAAUAUCUAAUAACUUUUAAGGCCGCCUCUCAAUGUCCUUUGACAAGGUUUCUACAUAUAUUAAGAUAAAAUGUUAACAAAAUAAGCAAGAUCAAGUCUAGUUGUAAAAAAGUAAAUUAAUUAUCUAAUUAGUAUUUGAUAUAUGGUUUUGGAUCUUCAAGAGGUGUAUCAAAAGUCAAUGAUAGUUUAUGGAUUUGGUUUUCUGAUACAGGAGAUAUCAAUGAGGAAUUCUACUAUCAUAAUCUAAAAUGUUCAAAAAAAAAAAAAUAGCAUUCAUUAUUACAUUAAGAAUUUAAUGAAGGCUAUAAAUAAUCAAAUGAAAACCUCCAAAUUUUAUAACCAUAAUUUCUCAUCAAAUUAGAAAGAUCAAAUUAAAGUUUCUGCCUUUAAACAAAAGAAGUAUUGUAUUAAUAGAUAUGACCUCUUUAAUUAUGUUUUUUUACCUUCUUACAUAGGCCCACAUGAAUAGGAGGAAUAGGAAGUACUGAAUCACGAAUAACUUCUAAACCUUCAAGAGGAAGAAGAAUAAAAACUGCACAAGUACUGAAUCAGGAAUAAAUCUUUACUUCUAAUUUACAUUAGUAAUUAUUAAUUAAAGACUAGAAAAGGUCUUUCAUAAUAGAUAACAAUUUUAUGAAGACAAAAUUCUGACGUAUAUUUUCUGUUUUUAAGAAGUAUAUCAGUCCCGUAAUCUAGAAGUCCAUAAAAAUCAUAAAAUAAACAAAAACAAAUUGCACAAGAGUUGACGUAUUCAAACAACUUAAUAAAAUGUGUGAUAUUUGAAUGCAACACUCUGUCGUUUGAUUAAAAAUUUAAAAUACUUUAAUUAGUUUGACUUGAAUAAUGGAAUUGAUUAGAUUAUUCCAAACUUAUGAACACUGUUAGUUUCUCUCAUUAAUAUGCACGUUUUAUCGUAAUAUCAUAUUAAGCAUUUAAUUUUAUUCAUUAGCUUUUAUUCGUAAACAAACUUUUUCAUUUUAAUUUUAAAGUUACUUUAUGAUAAGUUUUACGGGAAAAAAAAAUCAUAUUGUUUUCUUUUACCCAGCCAUCGUUAUAAAUACAUAUUAUAGGACUAGUUACCUAGAAUAAGAUAAAAUUAUAGCGACUCAAAAGAUUUAUUAAAUAAUGUUCAUAAAUAUAAAAAUAAUUAUGUCUACAAAUAGAAGAUCAAUAAUAAAAUAAAACAAAUAAUCAUAAUGAUAAUAUUUAAAUACUUCUUCAAAUUUGAGCAUAAAGAUCUUAAAUGUUUAACUUGUGUGAAAGAGACUUAAAUUGUGUUUCUACUUGUUGUACCUUAGUAGGAACAUAUGGAGGAUAAAUGAUGUCAAUUGUUACUUUAUUAUAUAUAAAAUGAUAAUCAACUUUAAUAUGUUUUAUUUUAUCCAUGAAAAAUUGGAUUUUAAGUUGUAUAUGUUGUUUAUUGACUAUCAUAAUAUAAUUGCAUCUCUUUAAAAUUAAUAACCACAAAUCACUAAGUAAGUUUUUGAGCCAUUUUAACUCACACGUAGUUGUCACCAUUGAGUGAUAUUCAACCUCUAGCUUAUGUAGAAGAGCCAAAGAUUCUUGAUUGUCUUAGUCAUUAUCUUGCUUCUAUUGUUUAAUGAAGGGUCAUACAUCAAGAUCUUGUUAUUUAAAAAAUGUUGGUGUUCCAAGUGGAAAAUAUUUUUGGUUGCCCAAAACCAACAUGUAUAUUGCUAACAUGAAAGGACCCAACCACAAAAUGGGUACCUAGAAGUAUUUUACUUACUUUUGCAGGAUUUAUGAAAUACCUUAUAAUCAAUGUGAUAUUUGCACACUAUGGCAUGGACGGCCAUACAUUUUCCCAGAACCAAGUAAGUUGGACGACCUUGGAGAGCAAGAAACAGCUUAAGCGAUGGAACGUGACAGAAACAACAGGCAAGACCGACGGUCGGUAGGAACGUCCGGCCUUAGUCGAAUAAACAGGUUUUUCUACAAAAGUUUAGGAAAAUAGUGAUUAGAGGUAAUGGGCUGAGAUUGGGUCGUGAUUAAGGUUUCACUAAUCAAGGUUCAUGCCAGAAAACUAUAAAUAUAAGUCAAAGGUAAGAGGUAGAUGAUCACAUUUUACUACACAUUUAUUACCAUUGCAUUGAACUCUCGUACGAACAAUUUACUGACUUUGGCAUCGAAAAACCUUUGGUAGGUACACCUCCGGACGGUGACAUGAAGACGAAGAUUUGAGUUGUCUACCGGAUAACUUUUCAGGAGAAAUUGUGUAGGUGUUUGAAGUAACUCGACCUCACACACGAAACAAUAUUCUUUUUGGGUUGUACAAGUAAAAUAAGUUUGAAUCAUUCCCUGUUUCGAUAAUGAUAUGAGUAAAUCAACUUCAAUAUGUUUAAAGAUGCUUAUUGUGACAUAAAAAUUGAUAUUUUAUUGCCAAAAUUGCUUAUACAAAUACAAAUUGUGUUGUUACAUAUACGUUUGUUAUUUUUCAGCAAUUUAAAGUAAACGGAAAUGCAUCUCAAAUCAAGUGUCUGCAAGAAAGUUGUCUUUUGUAGGGAGAGUUUCACACUACAUUGAUAAAAAUAUACUCAAAGCACAACUUGCUUAAUAUAAUUCAUCUAUAUGGGACAAUUUUAAGAUAAUUUUUUGUGAUAAACCACUCUUUAUCUGUUUUGCUGUAUUAAAUAAGGUAAUUUUCAUAGGAAAAAUAAAUAUAAAACAAUUAUAAGGUGGUUUUUGACAAUUCAUCUUUUGAAUUUAUUCGAUGUUUGUUCACUAAAGAGGAAGUAAAUAGCUUUGGCGUAUUAGACAUAGCUUGUACCGAUUGAAAUAUGCAUUUUCUAUAUUGUUGCAUAUAUUGAUUGAUUAUGUGUUGAUUUUAUUUUUUUGCAUUUGUACUUGCUUCAAUGUUAAUCAAUUAUGUUUCACCUCGUGCUUUAAUGAGGUCUUAAUUGCACAUUCAUUUCAAAUCUUUUUUUCCUCACUAACACUCUUUUUAAAUUUCAAACUUUUUUGAAAAUCUAAUAAUGUUAAUUUUUAUAGAGUUUAUAUCUUAGUCAUAGUUUAUUAACAAUUAACUCUUUUUUAACUUGUAACCUUCUUAAUCCUCAUUACCACUAAUGCUUACUUCUUUUUUUAUCUGAUUUAGUAACAAGAAGACUACAAAAUCAAAGAGCUUGACAGCUGAGAGAAACAGAAAAAACAACAAAAAGAUAGAGUUCUUGAACUACUGGUGGCGCUUAACACCACCUCCUUUUGGUUGAGUGUGUGCUUUACCGAGGCCACACCGUUAAGAGCCAACAUUACAUAGAUCAAAUAUUGGAGUUUAUGAAGACCUGUGCAACGACAGAGUAACGGCACUGAGCGAUACAUUGGCGGAUGUGGUAAGUUGUGCCCUAUUUCUUCUUGUGACUCAAAGAAGGUUUGGUCUUUGAUUGUUGGAGUCACAAAAUCAAUACGCAAGGACUUGUGGGAGCAACGCUUCCUUCCCUUUUGUAUCUCCUUCUAUUUUGUAAGUUUGAAUUUUCCAUGAAUUUCAUAAAAAAAAUACAGACAAUAUAAGAUUUUCUAAUUCUAUUUAUCUUCAUACGUUAUUUUGUCUCUACAUAAGAAUAAAAAAAACUAUUAAUUUGUAAUAAUUUGAACUCUUUCUAUGUCGUUAGGAAAAAUUAACCUUUAAUUGAUAUUAUUGAAAAAUUAUUCGAAGUCAAUUUAUAUUAUUGAAAUCUUGCAUGCAUUAAUAACAUUUCUGGAUUAUAAAGUUGAAAUGAAAUGUCAUUAACCUUUCUAUUAUUUAAACAGAAAAACAAAAUAAACUGAAUUGCAAAAGUAACCUUGUAGUUUGCGUUUUAUGUUUUAUAUCUGUUGCCUUUUAUGAGUCAUACUUUUAGUACAUUAUUUAUGGGCCAAAAAUUAUUUCAUGAAUAAAAAAAAUGGAAACAGGCAAACACCACGACGACGACGACUUAGAAUAAAGUAAUUAAGGAGUUUGAGAGUAUAAAUGUGGGUAUUGGGAGUGAUAAAUUCAGAACACAGAUCAAUCUAAUUCUAUAAUAUUCAAUCUCUCUAUUUCAUGAUCAUGAAUAUUCUCAAAGUGAUGAUGUUUAUGUUUGUGAUGAGUGUGGUGUUGCAGGUUGCUCAUGGACAACACCGUAUCAGAUGCAUUCCAAAGGAGAGGGAAGCCCUCCUUCAAUUCAAGGCUGCCAUUGUCGAUCGUUACGGCAUGCUCUCCUCUUGGACCACUCCCGACUGUUGCCAAUGGGAAGGGAUUCGCUGCACCAACAUCACCGCUCAUAUUAUAAGCCUCCACCUUCCUGCACAGUAUCAGUAUGAAUUUCUUUCUCUUGGCUAUUAUUAUGAAGACCCUUGGCAUUACAUCAGCGGAGAGAUCCACAAGUCGUUAAUGGAGUUGCGAAACUUACAGUAUUUGAACCUCAGUUUCAAUGAUUUUACAGACACUAAUAUUCCAGAGUUUCUUGGCUCUCUUACCAACUUGAAAUAUCUUGAUCUCUCUUCAUGUCAAUUUAGCGGACAAAUUCCAACUCAGAUAAGUUCUCUUUCUCAUUUGAAAUAUUUGAAUCUUGCUCAUAAUUAUUAUUUGGAUGGUUCAAUCCCUCCUCAACUUGGAAAUCUUUCUCGGUUGGAAUAUCUUGAUCUUAGUGGGAAUUAUUUGGAAGGAUACAUUCCUUCCCAACUAGGAAACCUUUCAAAUUUGCAUCAACUCUAUCUUGGAGGAUAUGAUCUCAAAAUUGUCACUAGUGAUCAAUGGUUAUCUAAUCUUGCUUCUUUAACCCAUCUUUACUUGGAUUCCAUACCUAAUUUUAGAAGUUCUCCUAGUUGGCUUCGAAAGAUUGCCAAGCUACCAAAAAUAAGAGAACUCAGUUUAAUUGGAUGUGGCCUUUCCGAUCAUUUCCUCCUUUCAUUCAACCCUUCCAACUUCAAUUUUUCUACUUCUCUUUCUGUCCUUCAUCUUUCUCAUAACGCCUUCACACAACCAAUGGUAUUCCAGUGGGUGUCAAACACCACUUCCAACCUUGUUGAGCUUGACCUUAGUUGGAACCUCUUGAAGGGUUUGACAUCAAAUCAUUUUGGCUUGGCCAUGAAUUCGCUUGUGCACCUUGACCUCUCCUAUAAUGUGUUCAAGGGUCAAGAUUUGAAAUCAU